AGCGAACGCUGGCGGCAGGCUUAACACAUGCAAGUCGAGCGGGCACUUUCGGGUGUCAGCGGCGGACGGGUGAGUAACGCGUGGGAACGUGCCCUCUGGUUCGGAAUAACUCAGGGAAACUUGAGCUAAUACCGGAUACGCCCUUUUGGGGAAAGGCUUGCUGCCGGAGGAUCGGCCCGCGUCUGAUUAGCUAGUUGGUGAGGUAACGGCUCACCAAGGCGACGAUCAGUAGCUGGUCUGAGAGGAUGAUCAGCCACACUGGGACUGAGACACGGCCCAGACUCCUACGGGAGGCAGCAGUGGGGAAUAUUGGGCAAUGGGCGCAAGCCUGAUCCAGCCAUGCCGCGUGAGUGAUGAAGGCCUUAGGGUUGUAAAGCUCUUUUAUCCGGGACGAUAAUGACGGUACCGGAGGAAUAAGCCCCGGCUAACUUCGUG
rnacentral:rRNA from 1 species